UACGAAAGGGGCUAGCGUUGUUCGGAAUUACUGGGCGUAAAGCGCACUUAGGCGGCCUUGUAAGAUGGGGGUGAAAUCCCUGGGCUCAACCCAGGAACUGCCUUCAUGACUGCAAAGCUCGAGGAUGUGAGAGGUUGGCGGAAUUCCGAGUGUAGAGGUGAAAUUCGUAGAUAUUCGGAAGAACACCGGUGGUGAAUGCGGUCAACUGGCACAUUUCUGACGAUGAGGUGCGAAAGCGUGGGGAGCAAACAGG
rnacentral:rRNA from 1 species